rnacentral:rRNA from 1 species
AUUGAACGCUGGCGGCAGGCUUAACACAUGCAAGUCGAGCGGGGGAAGGUAGCUUGCUACCGGACCUAGCGGCGGACGGGUGAGUAAUGCUUAGGAAUCUGCCUAUUAGUGGGGGACAACAUCUCGAAAGGGAUGCUAAUACCGCAUACGUCCUACGGGAGAAAGCAGGGGAUCUUCGGACCUUGCGCUAAUAGAUGAGCCUAAGUCGGAUUAGCUAGUUGGUGGGGUAAAGGCCUACCAAGGCGACGAUCUGUAGCGGGUCUGGGAGGAUGGUCCGCCACACUGGGACUGGGAGACGGCCCAGACUCCUACGGGGGGCAGCAGUGGGGAAUAUUGGACAAUGGGGGUAACCCUGAUCCAGCCAUGCCGCGUGUGUGAAGAAGGCCUUAUGGUUGUAAAGCACUUUAAGCGAGGAGGAGGCUACUGAGACUAAUACUCUUGGAUAGUGGACGUUACUCGCAGAAUAAGCACCGGCUAACUCUGUGCCAGCCGCCGCAGUAA